AGUGAACGCUGGCGGCGUGCUUAACACAUGCAAGUCGAACGAGAACGGAAUAUAGCUUGCUAUAUUUGUCAGCUAAGUGGCGCACGGGUGAGUAAUGUAUAGAUAACCUGCCAUUAAGAAAGGAAUAACAGUUGGAAACGACUGCUAAUGCCCUAUAUGCCUUUAAUACAUAAGUAUGCAAGGGAAACGCUUUAGUGCUUAAGGAUGGGUCUGUAUGGUAUCAGCUUGUUGGUGAGGUAAUGGCUCACCAAGGCUAUGACGCCUAACUGGUUUGAGAAGAUGAUCAGUCACACUGGAACUGAGACACGGUCCAGACUCCUACGGGAGGCAGCAGUGGUGAAUAUUGCACAAUGGACGAAAGUCUGAUGCAGCAACGCCGCGUGGAGGAUGACACAUUUCGGUGCGUAAACUCCUUUUAUAUAGGAAGAUAAUGACGGUACUAUAUGAAUAAGCACCGGCUAACUCCGUACCAGCAGCCGCAGUAA
rnacentral:rRNA from 1 species